rnacentral:rRNA from 1 species
UUUAGAGCUGCAAGUCUAUUGGAUGACAUGUGAGUAGGAGUGAAAAGCUAAUCGAGCUGGGAGAUAGCUGGUUCUCCGCGAAAUAUAUUUAGGUAUAGCCUCAUAAAGCAACAGUCUGAGGUAGGGCUCUGAUAAGGUGAGCGGGUCGCGAGACUUAGCAAUCCUUGAUAAACUUCGAAUGCAGACUGCCAAGUAUUAUGAGAGUCAGACAGUGACGGAGAAGCGCCAUUGUCAAAAGGGAAACAGCCCAGAUUCCUGUCUAAGGUCCCCAAAUAUACACUCAGUGGAAAAGGAGGUGAGGUUACUGAGACAACCAGGAUGUUGGCUUAGAAGCAGCCACUCAUUCAAAGAGUGCGUAAUAGCUCACUGGUCGAGUGAUCUUGCGCCGAAAAUUCAACGGGGCUUAAGUGUAUUACCGAAGACGGAAACUUCAAUUUUAUUGGAGUGGUAGCGGAGCGUCCUCUAUGCUGAUGAAGGUGAGUCGUAAGGCUUGCUGGAGGUACGAGGAGUGAAAAUGUUGGUAUGAGUAACGCGAACAGAAUGAAAACUUCUGUCACCGAAUGCCCAAGGUUUCCGAUCCAACGUCAGUCGUGGUCGGGUUAGUCGGUCCUAAGGUGUACCCGAAAGGGGAAACCGAUGGAUAGCAGGUUAAUAUUCCUGCACUUCAAAUGUUCGUUAUUACGACGUGGGGACAUAUCGGGUCAUUGGAGAGGGUUAUAGAUCAUCCUCGAAUUAUACAACAGCGGACACUUAGGAAAAUCCGGGUGUCAUUUACGAAAGAGUAUAGUUUCUCUCAAAGUGAAAGCGUAAGCUCGAGCAAUGAGAAGUCCUACAAUGAUUUGGUAUCGAGAAAAGCCACUAAGGAGAAUUAUUUGAAACCGUACCGCAAUCGAACACUCGUGGGCUGGUGUGAGUACACCAAGGUGGACGGGAUAACUAUGCUUAAGGAACUCUGCAAAACAGCGGUCGUAACUUCGGGAUAAGACCUGCCUGGAGAGUAAUUUACUCUUCAGGCCGCAGCUAACGAGCCCAGGCGACUGUUUACCAAAAACACAGCUCUCUGCAAACACGUAAGUGGAAGUAUAGGGGGUGAUGCCUGCCCAGUGCCAGAAGAUUACGGGGAGGGGUGCAAGCUCUGAACUUAAGUCCUGGUGAACGGCGGCCGUAACUAUAACGGUCCUAAGGUAGCGAAAUUCCUUGUCGGGUAAGUUCCGACCCGCACGAAUGGCAUAACGGUCUGGGCACUGUCUCAAGCAUAGUCCCGGUGAAAUUGCAAUAUCGGUAAAAAUGCCGAUUACUCGCAGCAAGACGGAAAGACCCUAUGAAGCUUUACUCUAACUUGGCACUGAUGUAUUCAGUUUGAUGCGCAGGAUAGGUGGGAGACUAUGAAAGAGACCCUCUGGGGUUUCCCGAGUCAUCCUUGAGAUACCACCCUUCACUCUGUGUACAUCUAACCCCAUAUUGGGGGACAGUGCUUGGCGGGGAGUUUAACUGGGGCGGUUGCCUCCUAAAAGAUAACGGAGGCGCACAAAGGUAUGCUAGUCCCGGAUGGAAAUCGGGAUGGUCGUGUAUUCGCAUAAGCAUGCUUAACUGAGAGACCAACAAGUCGAUCAGAUACGAAAGUAGGUGAAAGUGAUCCGGCACCAACAUGUGGGAGUGGUGUCGCUCAACGGAUAAAAGUUACUCUAGGGAUAACAGGCUGAUU